UUAUCGCCAUCUGGUCCAAAGAGAACUACCCUUUGACGCUGAUAAGACUGUCAUCGGCCAGUCAAUAACCUCUACCAUUUCCCUUUUUUCUUCUGGUAUUGACAUUUUAAAUUUUUUUUUUUCUAGAUCCAUUGCCUUCCUCCCACAAGUCUCCCCUGUUCGAAACCAUUGAUCCAUCGCCUUCUUCCCACAAGUCUCCCUUGUUCGAAACCAUCGGUAAAAAUUUCUUCCCGCCGUCGACCUACCUAUUCUCCCGCUCGUCGAUGCCGGAUGUCGAUUUAAUCCUUUGUAGGCCAUGUUUGGUUCAAUUAACAUUAUAGUGUUUAGUUACAAAAUUCCUGUCAUGGGUCACAUUCAUUUUAGAAUGAAAAAUCAGUUUAUAGUACAAAAAUUGAGAUAGUCAUCAUGCCCCAUUUUACUCAUUUUCAUUCUUUGAGAAAACUCUAACUACAAAACCGAUGUUUACUAGCAGACUAUGUGAAAGUACUUUUACAAAAGCACUUUUAUAAAA